UUAAUUCGAGACGAACCGAAGAACCUUACCUGGACUUGACAUCUUGCCGUUUUAUUCUGAUAGAAAUAUCGGGAGAUCCUUCGAAAGUUGGAUGGUAGGACAGGUGUUGCAUGGCUAUCGUCAGCUCGUGUCGUGGGAUGUUCCCUUCAGUGGGGUAACGAGCGCAACCCUCGCCGUAUGUUAAAUUGUUCAUACGGGACUGGUCGCCUUUGGCGACAGGAAGUGGGGACGACGUUAAGUCAGCAUGGCCCUUAUGUCCAGGGCAACACACAUGCUACAAUGAAGCCGACAAUGGGUUGCCAAGUGGUAACACGGAGCUAAUCCCAUCAAACGGCUUCUCAGUGGGGAUUGGGGGCUGCAACUCGCCCUCAUGAACGCGGAAUUGGUAGUAAUCGCGAAUCAGCUAAGUCGCGGUGAAUACGUUCUCGGGUCUUGUACACACCGCCUAUAGUAAUUAUAUUUAGGAACAACGCGCCUAGCAGUUGUAUCCUCUAGUAGAUUAAAAUUCUACCUCCGAUUUAAUCGGAGUAGCCAAAAAAAUUUGACAGUCCUUAUUGGGCAACUGAUAAGGAUGGAGGGUCUGAGGCAAAUGGCAGGGAUAGUAAGUAAGGAUGCAAGCGACUUUCGCCGGGCGGUCGGAAGGAAGUUGCUGUAAAAAGUCCACUAUUCAUGCCGGGAAAAGAGGAUAUGAUAACCUAGGGAGAUCCUUAUAAGAUUGAGGUUAAGGCUUAUAGGGAAGUCAGCUUCUUCAUAUUAGGUAAUUGAGCAAGUCUGACUUGCUUGACAUUUUCGGGUUAUAUUUGUAAUCUGAAAUUAUUAUUACUGAAGGGAGAAACGUAAGUGUUAGUAACGCCUGAUUACAUUGUAGGACUCACAGAAGGUGAAGGUUGUUUUCUUGUUAGUUUGAGAAAGGAUAAUCGGAUUGAAUUUCGGUUUUUCAUAGCACAAGCAAUAGGGAAUAAACCUCUUCUUGAAGAAAUAAAAAAGUUUUUUGUAGUAGGAAGUGUCUACCAAAAAUCGAACGUAAAAGGGAAAUUGCCAGCAUAUGUAUUUGAAAUUUCAAAAAGGGAUGACAUUUACAAAGUGUUAAUUCCCUUUUUUCAAAGAUAUAAACUUAAGGGGAUUAAGGCAAGAUCCUUUUCAGUAUUUGAGGAAAUCGCAAGAUUGGUUAAAGGUAGACAAGACAAGAGAAAACUGACUAAGGAAGAACUUGAUUAUAUUACAUAUUUAAGAUCAGGGAUGAAUAAACAUUACGGCUCGCCCGGUGCGGGAAAGCCGCUCGCCGGGUGGGAACGCGCAAUAACCUCAAUGAAGCGCAAUCCGUCAAGUUAGUGAAGUUGGUAGCACCCGAAUCCCGAUAGUAUCGGGGCAAGGUGAGACCAGCGACAAGAAUUAAGUCGUAAAUGCAUUCUGCAUUUGUUGCGACCUAGGAAAGUAAUUUCCUUGUAAAAUCCAGCUGUAUCGGUGAAGCCUUUACAACUUAGGAGUAAAGGAAUAAAGAACUGGAGAGAAUAGUGAUUAUUCUCUAAAUUCUUUUAAUCUUAUAUUCUUAAUGUUGAUGGUAAUACCGAGGGAACCCUUCGACAAAGCUCAGGGCCAUAGCCACGAGCGAAGUCGAGUGGGACUCCGUAGAGACUACACGCUGGCUCCGCAAAUUUCGAAAGCAUAUUUAUUUGGUCUUUUGCACGAUGCCACAGUAAGAAGAACGACCUACCGUAUAGCUACCAAGAGCGAAUUAUUCGCUGGUAUUAUUCAACAGGGAAUAAAGGAUCUUGGUAGAAAAGCUUGGAUAUAUAAAGAAGGAAAAAAUCGUAAUCUUUGGAUUAUUGAAUUUUCCAAAGAUCUGUUAAGAAGUUUUAGAAUUAAAACAAGAAAAGAUAAGCUUGAUUUUAUACGGGGGUUUUUCGACGCUGAAGGCGGAAUGGCAAAGCAUUCUCAGGUUAGAUUUUACUUGUAUUUCUGUCAGAAGAAUAAAACAGUUCUUUUGAAGAUAAAGAAGUAUUUAGCCGAAUUGGGAAUUGAAAGUGGAGUAAUUCACAAUCCAAGUAAAAAAGUAGAUCCUGAUUAUUGGAGGUUUUUUAUCAGAGCGAAAUCAUAUAAAGACUUUGCUACGAUUAUUGACUCCAAUCAUCCGGAAAAACUUUCAAUAUUGCGGAUGAAGAUAUAGUCCAUGCCCCCGCGUACCAUUCGGUACACGGCGAUGAACCAAAUGGUUCGUUGUUCGAAAGACAGGGAAUAAACCCCGAAAAUUUCCGUUGGAAAUAACGGGGCGAGCAUGAACAAGGUAUCCGUUCUGGAAGGAGCGGAUGGAUCACCUCCUU
rnacentral:rRNA from 1 species